ACUCCUACGGGAGGCAGCAGUAGGGAAUCUUCCACAAUGGGCGCAAGCCUGAUGGAGCAACACCGCGUGAGUGAAGAAGGGUUUCGGCUCGUAAAGCUCUGUUGUUAAAGAAGAACACGUAUGAGAGUAACUGUUCAUACGUUGACGGUAUUUAACCAGAAAGUCACGGCUAACUACGUGCCAGCAGCCGCGGUAAUACGUAGGUGGCAAGCGUUAUCCGGAUUUAUUGGGCGUAAAGAGAGUGCAGGCGGUUUUCUAAGUCUGAUGUGAAAGCCUUCGGCUUAACCGGAGAAGUGCAUCGGAAACUGGAUAACUUGAGUGCAGAAGAGGUAGUGGAACUCCAUGUGUAGCGGUGGAAUGCGUAGAUAUAUGGAAGAACACCAGUGGCGAGGCGGCUACCUGGUCUGCAACGUGACGCUGAGACUCGAAAGC
rnacentral:rRNA from 1 species